rnacentral:rRNA from 1 species
UGGCGGCAGGCUUAACACAUGCAAGUCGAGCGGUCGCAGAUCUAGCUUGCUAGAUGCUGACGAGCGGCGGACGGGUGAGUAACGCGUAGGAACCUGCCCAGUAGUGGGGGAUAGCCCGGGGAAACUCGGAUUAAUACCGCAUACGCUCUACGGAGGAAAGAGGGGGCUUCGGCUCUCGCUAUUGGAUGGGCCUGCGUGAGAUUAGCUAGUUGGUGAGGUAAUAGCUCACCAAGGCGACGAUCUCUAGCUGGUCUGAGAGGAUGAUCAGCCACACUGGGACUGAGACACGGCCCAGACUCCUACGGGAGGCAGCAGUGGGGAAUAUUGCACAAUGGGCGCAAGCCUGAUGCAGCCAUGCCGCGUGUGUGAAGAAGGCUUUCGGGUUGUAAAGCACUUUCAGUGGGGAGGAAGGCCUCGUAGUUAAUAGCUGCGAGGAUUGACGUUACCCACAGAAGAAGCACCGGCUAACUCCGUG